GAUGAACGCUGGCGGCGUGCCUAAUACAUGCAAGUCGAGCGAACAGACGAGAGUGCUUGCACUCUCUGACGUUAGCGGCGGACGGGUGAGUAACACGUGGGUAACCUACCUAUAAGACUGGGAUAACUUCGGGAAACCGGAGCUAAUACCGGAUAAUAUUUAGCUUCGCAUGAAGCAAUAGUGAAAGACGGUUCUGCUGUCACUUAUAGAUGGACCCGCGGUGUAUUAGCUAGUUGGUGAGGUAACGGCUCACCAAGGCAACGAUACAUAGCUGACCUGAGAGGGUGAUAGGCCACACUGGGACUGAGACACGGCCCAGACUCCUACGGGAGGCAGCAGUAGGGAAUCGUACGCAAUGGACGAGAGUCUGACGGAGCGAUGCCGCGGGAGUGAAGAAGGUGUUCGGAUCGUAAAACUCUGUUGUAAGGGAAGAACAAGUACGUUAGGAACUGAACGUACCUUGACGGUACCUGACCAGAAAGCCACGGCUAACUACGUG
rnacentral:rRNA from 1 species